rnacentral:rRNA from 1 species
AUUGAACGCUGGCGGCAUGCUUUACACAUGCAAGUCGGACGAGUGGCGAACGGGUGAGUAACGCAUCGGAACGUACCGAGUGAUGGGGGAUAACUGUCCGAAAGGACAGCUAAUACCGCAUAUUAUUCGAGCGGCCGAUGUGUGAUUAGCUGGUUGGGGGGGUAAAGGCUCACCAAGGCGACGAUCCGUAGCGGGUCUGAGAGGAUGACCAGCCACACUGGGACGGAGACACGGUCCAGACUCCUACGGGAGGCAGCAGUGGGGAAUUUUGCACAAUGGGCGCAAGCCUGAUCCAGCCAUGCCGCGUGUAUGAAGAAGGCCUUCGGGUUGUAAAGGACUUUCGGCGGGGAGGCGGUACCUGAAGAAUAAGCACCGGCUAACUCCGUGCCAGCAGCCGCGGUAAUUC